rnacentral:rRNA from 1 species
GGUGCGUAACGCGUAUAGAACUUACCUUUUACAGGGGGAUAGCCUUUAGAAAUGAAGAUUAAUAUCCCAUAGUAUUGAGACUUGGCAUCAAGACUUAAUUAAAGAUUUAUCGGUAAAAGAUGGCUAUGCGUCCUAUUAGCUAGAUGGUAAGGUAACGGCUUACCAUGGCAACGAUAGGUAGGGGCCCUGAGAGGGGGAUCCCCCACACUGGUACUGAGACACGGACCAGACUCCUACGGGAGGCAGCAGUGAGGAAUAUUGGGCAAUGGAGGCAACUCUGACCCAGCCAUGCCGCGUGCAGGAAGACUGCCCUAUGGGUUGUAAACUGCUUUUAUACAGGAAGAAACACUCGUACGUGUACGAGCUUGACGGUACUGUAAGAAUAAGGACCGGCUAACUCCGUGCCAGCAGCCGCGGUAAUACGGAGGGUCCGAGCGUUAUCCGGAAUCAUUGGGUUUAAAGGGUCCGCAGGCNGGUCAAUUAAGUCAGAGGUGAAAUCCCAUAGCUUAACUAUGGAACUGCCUUUUGAUACUGGUUGACUUGAGUCAUAUGGAAGUAGA